rnacentral:rRNA from 1 species
AUUGAACGCUGGCGGCAGGCCUAACACAUGCAAGUCGAGCGGAGCGGCGGACGGGUGAGUAAUGACUAGGAAUCUGCCUGGUAGUGGGGGAUAACGUCAGGAAACGGGCGCUAAUACCGCAUACUCUCAGAUGAGACUGGGUCGGCUUAGCUAGUUGGUGGGGUAAAGGCCUACCAGGGCGACGAUCCGUAACUGGUCUGAGAGGAUGAGCAGUCACAAUGGAACUGAGACACGGUCCAGACUCCUACGGGAGGCAGCAGUGGGGAAUAUUGGACAAUGGGCGAAAGCAUGAUCCAGCCAUGCCGCGUGUGUGAAGAAGGUCUUCGGAUUGUAAAGCACUGUAAGUUGGGAGGCGUUACCAACAGAAUAAGCACCGGCUAACUUCGUGCCAGCAGCCGCGGUAAUUC